rnacentral:rRNA from 1 species
UACGUAGGGGGCUAGCGUUGUCCGGAAUCAUUGGGCGUAAAGCGCGCGUAGGCGGCUUUGCAAGUCGGGUGUGAAAUCCCCAGGCUUAACCUGGGAACUGCAUUCGAGACUGCAUGGCUAGAGUAUCGGAGAGGGAAGUGGAAUUUCAGGUGUAGCGGUGAAAUGCGUAGAUAUCUGAAGGAACAUCAGUGGCGAAAGCGACUUCCUGGACGAAUACUGACGCUCAUGUGCGAAAGCGUGGGGAGCAACAGG